UGCGCCGUGAGGCAGUGCGGGACAGAAAAUGGCAGACGUCUCUUUGGAUGAAGUAAUACGACGGCGCGGCAUCAACCUUAAGACACCAAUUAAAAGACCAAUGUUCGGACGGGGUGCAGGAGGAACUGGCAAGGGUUUUGACGCCCGGCAGAGGAUAGGGGUCAACGAUGUUAGGCAGCGGCUUGGAGGAGGAGCAGGUUUUCAAGUUAAAGACGCCAG